rnacentral:ncRNA from 1 species
CAAAACGCCGAGAAGAGGACGAGUACCGUCCCCGCCCCUGCGCAGAGAGCCGCCGUUUUGGUGCAAGGCGGACAGGGAAGGGCUGGGAAGAUCACCUCCGAGCGUCCCGCCGAAUCCCCCCUGGGGCAGUAAGCGGGAACGGCUGGCCCCGUUACCGGCCUUCGAGGGGCCGCGGCACGCCGCGGCAAUGAGAGUGGUACCGCAGAGGUUUGCGCCUUUGUCUCUUAC